rnacentral:rRNA from 1 species
AAUCAACGCUGGCGGCGUGCCUCAGACAUGCAAGUCGAACGAUUAAAGCUCUCUUCGGAGAGUGCAUAGAGUGGCGCACGGGUGAGUAACACGUAAGUAAUCUACCUUCGAGUGGGGAAUAACGUCCGGAAACGGACGCUAAUACCGCAUAAUGCAGCGGCAUCGCAAGAUGACAGUUGUUAAAGAUUUAUCGCUUGAAGAGGAGCUUGCGGCAGAUUAGCUAGUUGGUAAGGUAAUGGCUUACCAAGGCUACGAUCUGUAACCGGUCUAAGAGGACGGUCGGUCACACUGACACUGAAUAACGGGUCAGACUCCUACGGGAGGCAGCAGUCGGGAAUUUUGGGCAAUGGGCGAAAGCCUGACCCAGCAACGCCGCGUGAAGGAUGAAGUAUUUCGGUAUGUAAACUUCGAAAGAAUAGGAAGAAUAAAUGACGGUACUAUUUAUAAGGUCCGGCUAACUACGUGCCAGCAGCCGCCGUAAC